ACGUAGGUGGCAAGCGUUAUCCGGAAUUAUUGGGCGUAAAGCGCGCGAGGCGGUUUUUUAAGUCUUGAUGUGAAAGCCCACGGCUCAACCGUGGAGGGUCAUUGGAAACUGGAAAACUUGAGUGCAGAAGAGGAAAGUGGAAUUCCAUGUAUAGCGGUGAAAUGCGCAGAGAUAUGGAGGAACACCAGUGGCGAAGGCGACUUUCUGGUCUGUAACUGACGCUGAUGUGCGAAAGCGUGGGGAUCAAACAGGAUUAGAUACCCGCGUAGUCC
rnacentral:rRNA from 1 species